AUAUAUUCAAAAUAUCCAGAACUGGGCUGCAACAACAGAGAGUGGCAGAAUACUUUCAGUAUUUAGACCAUGACAAUGUACCAGUUCAGCUACUCAGAGGCUGAAACCCUAAGAAAAUGUUGGUGUCCACUAAAGCAGAUUAGCCAGUAAUGCAGUUGUGGGAAUAUCUCCCUCAAGUGUGUGUGUGUGACAAUGGCCCAUGAAAUGACACCUACGAUGGGAACAUGGAACAUGCAGAAGAUAUUGCUAGAAUGAUAUGAACAGUAAAGAUUGAAUUGUUAUGAUCUGCUCAUGGAUGAACUUAAAAUUUCACAUAUAUCAAGAACAAACAUUUCUUCAGACUGCAGUCUUGAUAAAAAACACAAAUGUAAGGCUAAGGAGAGUUACUCUCCUGAUGAGAGCAUUACCCUUCCAUAGCUAGUGAUUUAAACCUAUCCUAGCUCAAGCAGAACAACAAACAGAUAGUAAAGGAUGACAUGUCAAUUUUUCUCUAUGUGGAAGGCUAAGAUCACAUAAAAAUGGAAAAACCACAUUGUGGGUGAGAGAAGUGUUUCAUUGUUUUGGAGUUAUAGAUCAAAACAUUAGGCUCCUGAAACCUGGACUGUGCUGCUUAGGAAAGCAAAAAUUAUCAUUAAGCAAGUAGGGGAAAAGCCUUGAAGAUAUACUUCUGUCUUAAUUUCUGUGUAACAAAGAAGAAUUUUCUAGAAAGGUCUAGAUUCACUCCCUUUUUUAAAAAAUGAUUGCAAAUGGCUGUAAAAUCACUGAACAAUGCAGUGGGAAAAGUUUACUUCCAGUCUGCCUUCAUUCUUGGAUGUCUAGCCCAUGUUCUCCAUAGGCUGACUGUCAUCAGGACACUUUGAUCUGGUUUUCUGCCUUUUUCCAAGAUACCUGAUGCUCUGCUAAUAGCAAUUUUUCCCCUGAAGAUGAUAGCUGCUCACAGCUGCUAUCCCUACCCUUUGUGGAUGCUUGGCAGCCCCUCCUCUGUCAUGCUGAGAACAAACACCUGGUCUUAUAUCUGAGAGGCUACUGGGCCCUUUGGAAGGGUGACAACUAAGCACCAGCUGUUAUCACUAAAAGAGCUCAUCCAUUUCUCUCCUCACCAUCUCCUGAAAUGCUCAAAGGGAAAAAAAAAAAAAAUCUGACCAGGAGCAGGCUGAAGAAAUUGUUGCCCAGAACAGGGGCACUUCAGAUCCUAAAGACUUUGUACUCUAUAUGAUUAGAAAGACUGGGUGCAACUGCUCUCUUUUGUUCUAGUUCUUAUGUGGUUCCUGUUCCUACAAUGCUGGAAAAUAUUUGCUGCAGUUUAAACUUUCCCAAAAUAUAUCACGUUUUUAACUCCCAUCCCAAUCACUCACUCAUUUGUAAACAUGUCUAUCCUGUCAGGAUUGAUAUGCAGGAAAAUGGACAAGGAUGCUGUGUUAAGUCAUAGUUUAUGGCAGCUCAGGCCACAUCUUGCAACUUCAUGAAAAUUUAAUUACAUUUCUGAGUUCACUGAACUGAUUUUCUCUGCUUUCUAAUAUCAACUAAUUGACUAUAUUUUGUCAAACAUAGAAAAAGAAAAGAACACCCCAAAGUAGGCAGAUAACUACCUUACACUGUAGCUGGAACUAUUUCACAGUUCACUUCUCCAAUGAGAUUAUGAGGCAGCUGCUACAUCAGCUGGUUGCUUUCUUUCUAUCAUGGAGCAUUCACCUCCUUCAUAGUUGAUCUUCUCAAGUUGUUGCCAGGUACCGAGCCGUUAUCUAAGCAGCAGCUUAUCAUGUUUGAGAUGUUUCUCCUCAGAGAAACACCUAUUUCUAACUUCCUACGCUUCCAUCAUGUUUGGUUAGCUAUUCCCUACUCCAACAGUUGUUCCUUGCUGCCUCUUCCCUAAUUGUUGCUUACUCAGUGACCUGUUCCAUCUACUGCAGCUUUAUUAACAAUUUCUCUUAAUUCAUCUCCAUCAACACAAACACUGCUGUGGGCUGAUGCAGGCUAUACAACAUCGCUAUUUCAACUUCCACUGCUUUCCUAGAAACACUGAAGUAAAAUAUCACAUUUUUCUUUUUUUUCCACAGCACUUAAUUUGUAUCCACAUCACUACAGAAUUGGUGUUUAAGUUGUGCAUUUAUCUCAGAAUUUGUGAGCUGGUCUGUGUUUUCUUAUAUUCUUACAGCUCCAGAUUUUCUCUGGUUAGCUGUGGACUUCCUUUUCAAUAACUAUGAAACACAAAAAAUAGGACAUGUUAAAAGAUGUCAUGUUUCAUCAGGUGCUUUCAUUUAUCUUCCUUUCUCUCUAUCACAAAUCCAGAGAGCUGUCUAUGGUCUCUGAAAACCUCCUGUGAUUUUCUUUUAGGAUCCAACUAUCAGGCAUAUUUGAGAAUGUAGAAUUUCUGCUCUGCCAGUGUAGAAUUAUAGCAGUGUAUGGAAUAGGAUGAACCCUAUUCUCUAAUCCCAAGAUUAAUUUUAGGUGUGGAAUUUUGCCUUUCUCUUAGAAUUAUUUGUGCCAGUCAAAAUUCAGAAGACAUCUGACGCAAAAGUAGGUUUCCAUCUAGUAGCAGCUGGAAAAGCAGCAUCAGAAUAAAGUACCAAGCCCCCAGAUUCAGGCCACACUCUCUGACUUUGUCACUAAUCUCAAUUUAAUUGAUAGUGGGAAAACCUACAUUAAGAAUAGAAGUAGAAAUUGUUGCUCAAAAUAUAGAAAAGCAAGCAAGGAGAGAAAUCUACUUCAAAUGGAUGAAACAGUAGAAGAGAAAAAAAUCUUGAUUUUAGGAAGAUGUAGCAUGGUAAUUCACUGUUUCAUCCGACUUGUAUAGCAAGCUGUGGACAACCAGUUAUAUCAGUCAGUUUAAGAGGAGUUAGCAGCACUUAACCACCACUUUCCUUUAGUCCUAAAGUAGCAUCAGGAAAAAUUGCCCCAACCAUGUGGUUAUCACAAAGGGCUGGUUUGCCACCCUAUUUAUAGUCAGAUUACCUUUGUCUGAUUGGAAGUGUUGACAUUGUUCACUGAGGAGACAAAUCUAUUUUUGAAAGUCAUUAAGCUUCUCCAAAUUUUUGUGGCCUAUGCUGGUCUGGGAAAAUUGUCUUUGCCUUCCUGGAAAAAGAGUAAGAACUUCUCAUAAAAUUCCAUAAGGGUCUCAGUAUCUCCAUUUACUGCUGUGAUGUAGCACAGUCCUAUUUAGUUCUCCCUCUCAAACCGUCUCAAACCUUUAAUGGAUUAAGAUAUUUACAGUUUAUCACACAGAAAUAAAUUCCCUCUCUCUCUUCAAACUCAGAUCUUACUGCUAGUUAUCACAACACCUGGCUGUUUUCAAAUACCACCUUCCUUGCACCGUUAGCUGCACACACUAUUUCAUUCCUUUUUUUCUCAGUAAGAGAUAAUCUCCAGUUUCUGUGGAUCUAUUUUCUUUGUAAGGGCUCUGGACUGCACAUGUGGUGAAGAACAUAUCUGUUAAAUCACCUUUGAAGUGAGAGCAGGGCUUUUCUGAGCAGAGGUUGGCAAAUAGGAGCUCCAUAUUCACAGUAAUGAUCAGUGAUGUUCUCUACCUCAAACAGUCCUCUUUUCUGAGAAAUCUCCUUAUCAUGCACAUGCAUUGCAUAAAGGCAUUGACUGGAUUUACCUUUUUCUUGGUGUCAGUUGUCUGUAACAGCCAUGGGCUAUAGCAAUAACCCUGACAAUGGCAGCUGCUUCUGUCUGUCUUAAGGAAGCAUAAAAGCCCUGGACUGUCCCCACUUCAGUCCUGGCAAAGGGAGCACCUCAGAGCAUGAGCUCAAUGUGGAGGAAGACCUUUUAGAUUAAAAAAAUAUAUGUUGUGUGGACUGCUGUGCACUGUUUUUGUGCUGUGGAAAAAACAGUGAUAAGAGAGUUUCAUUAA